UCUACAGGCUUAACACAUGCAAGUCGAGGGGCAUCAGGAAGAAAGCUUGCUUUCUUCGCUGGCGACCGGCGCACGGGUGAGUAACACGUAUCCAACCUGCCCUUUACUCGGGGAUAGCCUUUCGAAAGAAAGAUUAAUACCCGAUGGCAUAAUGAUUCCGCAUGGUUUGAUUAUUAAAGGAUUCCGGUAAAGGAUGGGGAUGCGUUCCAUUAGGUUGUUGGUGAGGUAACGGCUCACCAAGCCUUCGAUGGAUAGGGGUUCUGAGAGGAAGGUCCCCCACAUUGGAACUGAGACACGGUCCAAACUCCUACGGGAGGCAGCAGUGAGGAAUAUUGGUCAAUGGGCGCUAGCCUGAACCAGCCAAGUAGCGUGAAGGAUGAAGGCUCUAUGGGUCGUAAACUUCUUUUAUAUAAGAAUAAAGUGCAGUAUGUAUACUGUUUUGUAUGUAUUAUAUGAAUAAGGAUCGGCUAACUCCGUGCCAGCAGCCGCGGUAAUACGGAGGAUCCGAGCGUUAUCCGGAUUUAUUGGGUUUAAAGGGAGCGUAGGUGGACUGGUAAGUCAGUUGUGAAAGUUUGCGGCUCAACCGUAAAAUUGCAGUUGAUACUGUCAGUCUUGAGUACAGUAGAGGUGGGCGGAAUUCGUGGUGUAGCGGUGAAAUGCUUAGAUAUCACGAAGAACUCCGAUUGCGAAGGCAGCUCACUGGACUGCAACUGACACUGAUGCUCGAAAGUGUGGGUAUCAAACAGGAUUAGAUACCCUGGUAGUCCACACAGUAAACGAUGAAUACUCGCUGUUUGCGAUAUACAGUAAGCGGCCAAGCGAAAGCAUUAAGUAUUCCACCUGGGGAGUACGCCGGCAACGGUGAAACUCAAAGGAAUUGACGGGGGCCCGCACAAGCGGAGGAACAUGUGGUUUAAUUCGAUGAUACGCGAGGAACCUUACCCGGGCUUAAAUUGCAGUGGAAUGAUGUGGAAACAUGUCAGUGAGCAAUCACCGCUGUGAAGGUGCUGCAUGGUUGUCGUCAGCUCGUGCCGUGAGGUGUCGGCUUAAGUGCCAUAACGAGCGCAACCCUUAUCUUUAGUUACUAACAGGUCAUGCUGAGGACUCUAGAGAGACUGCCGUCGUAAGAUGUGAGGAAGGUGGGGAUGACGUCAAAUCAGCACGGCCCUUACGUCCGGGGCUACACACGUGUUACAAUGGGGGGUACAGAAGGCAGCUAGCGGGUGACCGUAUGCUAAUCCCAAAAUCCUCUCUCAGUUCGGAUCGAAGUCUGCAACCCGACUUCGUGAAGCUGGAUUCGCUAGUAAUCGCGCAUCAGCCACGGCGCGGUGAAUACGUUCCCGGGCCUUGUACACACCGCCCGUCAAGCCAUGGGAGCCGGGGGUACCUGAAGUACGUAACCGCAAGGAUCGUCCUAGGGUAAAACUGGUGACUGG
rnacentral:rRNA from 1 species